AUUGAACGCUGGCGGCAGGCUUAACACAUGCAAGUCGAGCGGGGGAAGGUAGCUUGCUACCGGACCUAGCGGCGGACGGGUGAGUAAUGCUUAGAAAUCUGCCUAUUAGUGGGGGACAACAUCUCGAAAGGGAUGCUAAUACCGCAUACGUCCUACGUGAGAAAGCCGGGGAUCUUCGGACCUUGCGCUAAUAGAUGAGCCUAAGUCGGAUUAGCUAGUUGGUGGGGUAAAGGCCUACCAAGGCGACGAUCUGUAGCGGGUCUGAGAGGAUGAUCCGCCACACUGGGACUGAGACACGGCCCAGACUCCUACGGGAGGCAGCAGUGGGGAAUAUUGGACAAUGGGGGGAACCCUGAUCCAGCCAUGCCGCGUGUGUGAAGAAGGCCUUAUGGUUGUAAAGCACUUUAAGCGAGGAGGAGGCUACUCUAGUUAAUACCUAGGGAUAGUGGACGUUACUCGCAGAAUAAGCACCGGCUAACUCUGUGCCAGCAGCCGCAGUAA
rnacentral:rRNA from 1 species